rnacentral:lncRNA from 1 species
UAUGUCUAACCCAAACAACAUUAGGGAAUUUACUAGCAUUUAUUAUAUUUAUUCUUUAAGUACCCCUGUCAUAACUUACAGGAAAAUUAUACACUUAGAAAUAUCAUAUAAUUAAUUUUCAACUUAUUUUGUCUCAUAUUUACAAAUACAUCGAAAGACCCAACAUUCCUCAGUUAAACCAGAGCGACAUAUAUUAGUAGCACAAUCAUCAGUAGUAACACACCAAUAUGUAUGAUCUGUGAUUUCAAAUAAGAAUUAAAGAUUAAUAAUAAAAAAAAUAAAAAAAGAUGAAUGAUUAUGGGUAUAAUAAAGAAAAUAAUUUAAAAUAGAUGAAAAAAAUAACUUACUGCCACUGAUUACAAGACCAAUUAAAGAAAGAAAGAUGACUAAAGCAUGAAUAAAUUUGAGAAUUUCAGCCAUAUUUUUUCUCCUUUGCGAAUAAUAAUUAAAAAAUUUGUCGAUCACUUUAUAAGCAAAAAU